AUAUGUUAAAUUGCUAAUACAUUUGUGGAAACAGAAAAGGUGGCAUGCAUGUAUGGAUGUACAUCAUUUUGUAAGUGACAGAAUUAAUGUAUGGAACAAUGAGUAAUGUACCUGAAAAGUGGUGCAAAUUCAAUGGUAUAUCGAUGGACACAUUAAGAAAAUUUCGUGUUGAUAUGAAAAAUCAGAUUUUGUGGAACCAUUAAGGGUCCAAGUUGUGCUAAAAACAGAUGAUUGUAGGAAAGAGCAAUGGAGGAAACAGAUCACCAAGAUCCCUUGAUAGAGGCUGAUAUCAUCCAAUCAGUUCCUAAAUGACUGAAAUUCAAUCUCUAAUUGAUAUAUGAACUAUGAAGUUUGUCACGCCCAACGCUGGGCACCAAGUAAGCAGAACCUUGAUUAAUUAAAGAGGGCCCUUCAAUGGUUCAACCAAACAAACUUUUGAAGAUCUACAUGGGUGCUGCGACUCACAUAAAUAAUACAAAAUACAAAGCCAUUUCUAGGGUACUCCUUGGCCUUUUGGGUGGCAUUGUGAUGUGCAUAGUAAAGCUAGGGGAUACCACUAAGUUGUGAGUGGCAAAUUUGGCACAAGGAAGCCAUAGGCAGUCAUGUUGGACGAAACUUGCUUUAAGGAACCACAUUGACACUUCAAGAGUUCUUUUGCUGGCACAAAAGUUUGAAUCUUGUUUGUACAAGUUUGUACAAUACUGAUAUCAACAGGGUGAUGACUGGGACACUGUUAAGUUGUGAAUGGCUGGUACAGGUGCAAUUGCAAUUCACUAUCAUGUUCUAAACCAUAACCUAGGCAUCUAUAAUAAAUUGAAUAGGUCCAUCCAAAGAGGUGGCACUGAAGAAAGUAACAAUGCCUUUUUGAUAUGGACCUUUAUGCAGCUGAUGAACAAUGGUAUUAGGCAUUCUUUAGAUUUGAUGAACUUGUCAAGGUCUACGAUGAUGGACAACCACACGCAAGCAAGCACAAAGAGCCGCUGGUACUCCACACUGAACUGUGAGACAGACUCCAAUUUUUGCUGAGUCAAUGGAUCAUAGUAUUUUCCGGAACGCAGAUAGAUUAGAAGAGUGAAUUAAGGGAUAAGAUAGGAACUACAGUUCCCAUUGGAAGAAGGGGCAGAAUUGGGUGUGAAAGUAGGGUCUAGGGUCUCUUUUGUACUAUGCUCUCUAUUAUUAAGAGUAGUUUAUUCUUUAUGUCAUUUUAGGGCAUUGCCUUUAUAUUUUCUGUAUAAUCUUGAUUACGGUUAAUGUUGCAAUAAUAAACCUCUAUUCUUCUCUCACCAGCACAAAAUGGUAGGGCUGAGAGAAAGCAUGACAUAUUCUUGAGGUAGUUAGAUCGCUCCUCCUCUGUUCCAGUUAUUUUCUAGGGGAGUCGAUUCUCACUGUGGCUUAUCGUCUUAAUCUUAUGCCCACUUUUCUUCUCUCUAGGAUUUCACCUUAUGAGAAAUUGUUUGGUUGACCUACUAACUACUGCCUCCUAUGCACGUUUGGUUCCACUUGUUUGAUCCUUCUCGCAAAAGAGAGUGCCAUGAGCUAAGUGUUCGCUCAAUGCUUGUUUUCUUGGGUUAUGGUAUUAAUCAAAAUGGUUACCGCUAUUACGACCAUGUGUCUAAAAAGAUAUAUGUCUCUCAGUCAUGUUACUUUUAUCAAGCAUUGUCUAUAUUUUACCCUUCAAAAAGUACACAUGUUUCAAUAUCUAGAGAAGACUGCCAGACAUUGAUCCUUUAACUAUUGAUGUGUCUUCCGAGGAGUAUAACUCUACCCUUAAUGUCUCUGGACUCCGUUCUCAUCCUCCUGUCACCUCUCAGUCUACUAAGUUCCCAUCUUACCCUUUGAUAUAUUCACGCAGAACUGCUCUUCCUUCAUCUACACUUCCCAGCUUUGAUGUCCCUUGGGUUGCUUCUGUGUACAUCAAUUCCCUCUAAGCACCGUUAUCCUCUUCUAACUCGUGUUUAACCAAUUAAGAUUAGUUUCCCAAAUAUUGUUUCUCUUCCCCUUACCGUACUUAAAAUCUACCAUUUAUUCUUGCUUUGAACCUCAAUCUUAUAAACAAACCUGUAUUGAUCCCAAUUGGGUGAAUGCAAUACAAAAUGAGUUGACUGUUCCAGACAAGCCUAAUCAUUGGGAGUUCGUAACUUGAAGGUAAAAAAAUUGUUGGUUGGUUUAUCAUAUUAAAACCCACUUUGAUGGUUCUUUGGAGCGUUACAAAGUGCACUUGGUUGCAUAAGAUUUCUGAUAGGAGUAUGGGAUUGACUACGGGAGAGUUUGCUCCUGUAGCUAAAAUGACCGCCAUUCACACCUUGAUCUAUGUUGCCGUAGUUCAUCAACGGCCCUUCUUUCUUUCAGUUGGAAGUCAAGAAUCCCUUGUUUCAUGUAGCCAUGUGGUCUUUGUUCGAAGUUGCAUUUCAACAACAUGAUGUACUUCAAUAUGACUCUCUUUUGGGUCUUUCGCUGCCGCCCCAGCUUGAGAACAAGUUUGUUGUUGGAUAGGGAAUCU
rnacentral:lncRNA from 1 species